CCGGGGGUAGGUGAGCGGCGGCGCAAUUAGAGGGGAACUGCUUCUUAGAACCACUGUACUUCUCCGAUUUCAAAGGGUUUACAAUACAGGGUGCAAUUAUGUUUGGAUCUGGAAUGGGAAGUCUUUCAGCUGCAGAGGAGUUAAUAAUAAAAAAAAAGAUACAGUAACCCCCCCCCCCCCGCGUGUUUAAAUAGAAUAAGACACUGUAUGAUACAGUAAGACAUUGCUGUUGGGUCGGCUUUUCUAAAGUUUCACUUCAAGAUAAAAGGCUAUACAUGAGUUAAUGUUAACCAAACUAAUAAUAAACCAUGCAAGCGUUUUCAGCUUAACCUGCUGUGCUUGUUAACACCUUCUGAUUCUGAAGCAUGUAUAAUGUUUUGUUAGGAGUAAUUGAAUCCGUUCACGAAUGGAAUACAACACUGUUCAGUAACCCGACAACAAUCCUAGUCAUAUUCAAAGAUUUGCGGAGCUGCGUGCGGUUUUAAUGGAAGCUGCCAAACAUUGUCCACUGCUUCAAGUCUCCUCUGGAAACAAAGGGUUACGUUUUUUUUAAAUAAAGAGAUCAUCAUAGUCAAAGUGUGUUUUCUCUUUUGUCAAUUUGAUCAAUGUUAACCGGCUACUACACAAGAGGCACCAUAGAUCACGUUGAUUAGAUAGAUAUACUUGAAGCACUUGCCUCUGUUUACUUCAGUCAAUACUGCAGAAUGGCACCCUCUUGUGUUCGUGUUUAUGUUAUCCAAAAGCCUGGGUGAAGAACUGCAGCAUCGAAGAAGUUUAAGUGCCCAAAUGAACUAUUGUAAGAAUGAAUGUUAUUGUUUGCACCCAACAGACAGUGGAAAUACUCCCAGACAACGAAGCAUUACCUCAUAACAUAGAGUAAGGAAGUCUGGAAAACAAAAAUGAAAAAAGGAUUUGUUUACAGCAAGACACAGCUAAUAUUAUUAUUUAUUUCUUAGCAGACGCCCUUAUCCAGGGCAACUUCCAAUUGUUACAAGAUAUCACAUUAUUUUUACAUACAAUUACCCAUUUAUACAAUCAGGUUUUUACUGGAACAAUCUAGGUAAAGUACCUUGCUCAAGGGUACAGCAGCAGUGUCCCACACAUGGGAUUGAACCCACAACCCUCUGGUCAAGAGUCCAGAGCCCUAACCACUACUCCACAGUGCUGCCCACAGCUAUGGGUUAUUGAGUAACAGGUGAAAUAUUUAUAGCAAAGUGCAGUGAAAACCUGGUAAAGCUUAAGCAGACGUAGUAUGUUCAGAGAUACUGGAGAGAACUUCACAAAGAGGCUGGUGGCUGGACCUGAAUCGACGCUGAAUUAUAACAGUUACAUAAACAGUGUAGAAAGGAAGAGAAGCUAGCACAUUCAGGAGAUAUAAAAUGCUUAGUUUUUUUUUUUUGUCCAGUAAUUAAUUACAGUAUAAUGGCUCAGAACUUGUAUCCUGCCAUGAAAGGGCAGUCCAGCAUUUUCCAUUGCAAACACAACAUGCCCACUUCAGAACCACACUUUCUGUUCCAUAAUCAGGCUUCUCCUUCAGCGGUAUCUGAUUGCACCACAAGCCGCGUCGUUCCUUUGUGACCCACUUCCUUAAUGUUGAUUUUGAGUUUCUUAAACCAUCUGUUCUGGUCUGCAUCCAUUUACUCAAGGGCAAAAUGUCACAAGAAAUUACAGAAGAUGUCUGCUGGCAAAAGAGGUAGAGGCAAUGCAGCUUGGCAAAGGAGGGGGGCAGUAAGUAACUGUUUACAGAAAGUGGAAGGUGAGGUUUGCCAGCAGUGUCAUUCACAAUGACAAUCAAUUGUAACGUCCCUACUGCACCAAAAACUGCGCCUUUUUAUAAUGUGUUAUAAAGAGUGCAGGUUCAGCUGCAGCAGCAGUGUUUGAAUGGCACAAUAUUAUGCAUUGGUGCCAUCUUCCCCCUUUCCUAUUUACUCGCAUGGAGCAGAGCAAAUCAUACCUGUAACAGAAGAACAGACUUCCCAGUAUCAGCCAAAGGGGCUGCAGAAUGUAUCAUUUAUAGAAACAUGUUAAAAGGUAAUUAAAAAGGCUGGCUGAGGCAUGUUCAAAAGGAGUUUCUAAAGCCAAAGGGCUGGACUUUGUAACAUUAAAACAUUUGGGGCUGUGCUUGCAGUAGCGGGUGUUCCUUGUGUCUGUGUAGCUGGACUCAGUUCUGAAAAUUAAAUAUGCCCUUAGAUUUAUUGAAACAUUUCCUCUCUGCUUUUCAAAAGCAUGCAAACGCAGCUGACUUAGGUGGCCUUGGCAACUCUGUGUGUUUAUAUGACCUGCUCUCUGUAAUAAUACACCAGCAUGCCAAAUUCAAUUAAUUUGCACAUCUUUCUUUGGUGCAAGCACAAGCUCUUAAAGAGCCAGCAAGGUGGACGCUGUCACUAGAGCACGUAAAUACAGUCCUUUCGUUGCUGAAGACCUGUGUUUACUUGAACAGAAAGGCCUGCCUCCAGGGAGCAUUGCUGUACUUGCACUUUACUAAAUCAAUUAUAGCAGAGAAGGGUGUGGAUCACUUCACUCGGGCUCUGGAAGCUGCUGGAGUGCUAAAGUUCUUAAUGAAUGUGUUUAUUUGGCUGCAUCACCUGCACAUAAAUCAAGAUAAAUGAAAGAGCUAGCAGUGGAUAAGCCAGCAUUAGCUCAUUCAUGUUUUUAGUUUCUAUUUCGUUUUUCACCCAGGAUAUCAGGAUGAAAGUAUAAAAUAGUAAAGGCUCUCUCUUUUCCAUUUCUCUGGCUCAGCAGGUAAAGGAAGAUCAUGCUGUGGCAGCCCAGUCAUCCAUCACAGAGCGAAGCGCUCACGUCAUCCCAUCCUGUCAGGCAAACUCUGGCAGUGUAUUCAUUAUCAUCUCUACUGAAAUCCCCUGCUUAGGCAAAACUCACCGCAUGAUGUGCUAAGGGUGGCAUCUUAUAUUUAAAAAGAGACCUUGAAGCAAUAGAUUGCGAUUUACACUAAGGAUUUAUGCAAAGGUCCACAAAAAUUAAAACCAUUUGGGGGUGGGGGGGGACACUCCUACUCUAAGAUAUCAUUGAUGACCUUUAACCCCUUUAACACUAAUCGCAAUUUAUAAUGUUUUAUUUUCAUACUAUAUUAUGAUCUUGAUUCACAAUUAAAGUGGUAGGUCGGACUAUUUUAAGGUCAUCAACAUUUCUGAUUUCGUCAAAUGUCAUGCGCAUUUAAGCCCAGUUGCCCAUAUUCUAAUAUGUCAUAUUUAAUCAUACGUUGCUCAUCCAGCAGGGUUCGCCGUAGCGCCAUGAGGAGAAGCAGUCCCUAAUGGGAGCGCCAGAGCCAAUGAGACGCUCCUUGUGGAAUCCCCAGUGAAGACCGAUGACUUCGCACAGCCAGGAACCUGCGCUCCGGACUGUCUGACUCACCCUGCGCCCCACGCGGCUGUGCACUUACCAGGGGAGCCACUCUGGGAACCCUCUUUUUAUUUUUUUAAUGGAAUCUAUCCCCUAGGUGUACCGCAGUCUUUCUUCGGACUGAAGAUUUUCAGCUGCAUGGCGGAAGGGGUUUGACUUGAUUCAUUCAACCGACUUUGAAAGAGUAUAACUGCAGAUCGCUUCUAGAGGCCUGUUUUACAUGGCAUAUGAAAAGGACACACAUGCAGGAUGAGAGGAUUGGGCAGUCUGGUCUCAUGGUUAGAGAUCCUGCUUUUGAAUGCACCUGCAAUGCA